rnacentral:snoRNA from 1 species
ACUGUACAGAUAUUUUACCCAUCAGAGCUAAACUUUGGUCUAAGUGGCUAUAAAAGGAGAAGUAAAACUGAAACAGGUCUUUUUUGGACAUACAAACUCAUUUCAAACAAAC